GGAUGUGAGGGCGAUCUGGCUGCAACAUCUGUCACCCCAUUGAUCGCCUAGGUUGAUUCAGCUGAUCUGGCUGGCUAGGUGGGUGUCCCCUUCCUACCUCACCGCUCCAUGUGCAUCCCUCCCGAAGCUGCACCCUCGGUUGAAGAGGACGACCAUCCCCGAUAGAGGAGGACCGUUCUUCGGUCAAGGGUAUACGAGUAGCUGCGCUCCCCUGCUAGGACCUCCAAACAAGCUCUCAAAGAAGCCAGAUCCCACGUGGCUUUCCACAGUUGGAAUCCCAGCCCCAGUGGCUUGAACAAUAUGCAGGGCACAUGG
rnacentral:snRNA from 1 species